rnacentral:rRNA from 1 species
AUUGAACGCUGGCGGCACGCCUAGCACAUGCAAGUCGAGCGGCAGCGAGACUAGUAGCAAUACUAGUUGUCGGCGAGCGGCGGACGGGUGAGUAACACGUAGGUAUCUGCCCUUAAGCGGGGGAUAACCAAGGGAAACUUUGGCUAAUACCGCAUAAUCUCGAGAGAGCAAAGCUGCCCGUAAGGGUGGCACUUGGGGAGGAGCCUGCGUCCGAUUAGCUAGUUGGUGGGGUAAUGGCCUACCAAGGCGAUGAUCGGUAACUGGUCUGAGAGGACGACCAGUCACACUGGGACUGAGACACGGCCCAGACUCCUACGGGAGGCAGCAGUGGGGAAUAUUGGACAAUGGGGGCAACCCUGAUCCAGCGAUGCCGCGUGAGUGAAGAAGGCCUUCGGGUCGUAAAGCUCUUUAGGUUGGGAAGAAGGGUAUUGGCUGAAUAAUCCAGUACUUUGACGGUACCGACAGAAUAAGCACCGGCAAACUCUGUGCCAGCAGCCGCCGUAAUAC